rnacentral:rRNA from 1 species
AGAGCGAACGCUGGCGGCAGGCCUAACACAUGCAAGUCGAACGAGCCUUCGGGCUAGUGGCGGACGGGUGAGUAACACGUGGGAACGUACCUUUAGGUUCGGAAUAACGCAGAGAAAUUUGCGCUAAUACCGAAUGUGCCCUUCGGGGGAAAGAUUUAUCGCCUUUAGAGCGGCCCGCGUUAGAUUAGCUAGUUGGUGAGGUAAAGGCUCACCAAGGCUACGAUCUAUAGCUGGUCUGAGAGGAUGAUCAGCCACAUUGGGACUGAGACACGGCCCAAACUCCUACGGGAGGCAGCAGUGGGGAAUCUUGCGCAAUGGGCGAAAGCCUGACGCAGCCAUGCCGCGUGAAUGAUGAAGGUCUUAGGAUUGUAAAAUUCUUUCAGCGGGGAAGAUAAUGACGGUACCCGCAGAAGAAGCUCCGGCUAACUUCGCGCCAGCAGCCGC